CAGACGGUAGUUUAGACUUAAAGAAUACUAGCUUUGGGAGUUGGUGGCGGGGGUUGAAUUCCCCUCUUUCUGA
rnacentral:tRNA from 1 species